rnacentral:siRNA from 1 species
GGGCUUAUAAGUUUGUCCUUGG